UACGUAGGGGGCGAGCGUUGUUCGGAGUUACUGGGCGUAAAGGGCGCGUAGGCGGCGCUCCAAGUUAGGCGUGAAAGCCCCGGGCUCAACCUGGGAAUUGCGCUUAAGACUGGAGUGCUCGAGUGCGGAAGAGGUGAGUGGAAUUCCCAGUGUAGAGGUGAAAUUCGUAGAUAUUGGGAAGAACACCAGUGGCGAAGGCGGCUCACUGGUCCGCAACUGACGCUGAGGCGCGAAAGCGUGGGGAGCAAACAGG
rnacentral:rRNA from 1 species